rnacentral:rRNA from 1 species
AGUGAAUAGAUACCCCGGUAGUCCACGCCCUAAGCGAUGAAUGCUAGUCGUCGGGGUACUCGUUACUUCGGUGAUGCACUUAAACAGAUUAAGCAUUCCGCCUGGGGAGUACGGUCGCAAGAUUAAAACUCAAAGGAAUAGACGGGGACCCGCACAAGUGGUGGAGCAUGUGGUUUAAUUCGAAGAUACACGAAGAGCCUUACCUGGCCUUGACAUGGUAGGAACCCUUAAGAGAUUAGGGGGUGCUAGCUUGCUAGAACCUACACACAGGUGCUGCACGGCUGUCGUCAGCUCGUGUCGUGAGAUGUUGGGUUAAGUCCCGCAACGAGCGCAACCCUCGUCGUUAGUUGCUAACAGUUCGGCUGAGCACUCUAACGAGACUGCCUUCGCAAGGAGGAGGAAGGUGAGGACGACGUCAAGUCAUCAUGGCCCUUGCGGCCAGGGCUACACACGUGCUACAAUGGGGCGUACAAAGAGCUGCAAUACCGCGAGGCGGAGCCAAUCUCUUAAAGCGUCUCUCAGUUCGGA